AAUGCCAGCAACUGAGAUGGUGACGCUGGGGGGAGGAUGGACUGAAAAUUCUAAUUUGGACGUGUUGAGUUUGAGAUGUCGGUAAGACACAGAGGUGGAAAUGUCCAGGAGGCUGUUGUAGUUAAAAAAGCCUGGCGUUAAGGAAGGUUUAAGCUUGGAGACGAGGAUUUAUGGAGAGUAGAAAACAGCUGGGUCAAUGUUGGAGGACCGGAGGCCCGCAGUUGGGUGGAGCUCCCUGGGGCCCACGUGGUGGAGCAGAGAGAACCCAAGAGAGAAGUUAGAUGGGGAAGGAGAACCUCAUGGAAGACAGGACAGCUUGGUCCAGCCACCCUCUGCUACUGCUUGCAGAGUCUGCUGCCCGACUAGGAUUUGGGCGCCUCUGUCCUGCUGUAGUGUCCCACCUGGUCGCCCAUUCCCUUCUGCCUGGGCGCUCUUCCCGUCUUCACCUGGACAAUCCCCUGCGUGCUUCUGAUCUCAGGCCACAGGCUGCUUCCUUAGGGAAGCCUCUCACAGUCCUUGAAGACGGAGGCAGAGGGAGAUUUGACACAGAAGAGAAUGUGAUGUGAGCAGAGAUUGAAGAGAUGCUCUUGCUCUUUGAAGAUGAAGGAGGCAGCCAGCAGCCAAGGAAUCCAGUUGGCCAAUGGGAACUGAAGAAGACAAGGAAACAGAUUCUCCCUUCAGAGGCUUCAGAAGGAACCAGCCCUGCCAACACCUUGACUUUAGUCCAGUGAAACUGAUUUUGGAUUUCUGACCUCAAGGACAGCAGAGAAUAAAUCUGUGUUGUUUAAACCACUGAGUCUGUGGCAACUUGUUUCAAUGGUAAUAGCAAAGAAAUAUAUUACCCUAAAGUAUUCAAUGCCUAGGGGAGAAAAUGGACACCUUUGUACAGGGAUAAGUGCUAUCACAGGGUACAAUGGAAGGGGAGGAGUGUAACGG